rnacentral:lncRNA from 1 species
AUGAACCCUCUGACUAAGGUGAAGCUGAUAAACGAACUGAAUGAGCGAGAAGUUCAACUUGGGGUGGCGCAAAAGGUGUCUUGGCACUCGAAUACAAGCACAGCGCCUGGAUCUUUGUUGGAGGGCUUCCUUAUGAACUGACAGAAGGCGAUGUCAUCUGUGUGUUCUCACAAUAUGGAGAGAUUGUCAACAUUAAUCUUGUGAGAGACAAGAAGAUUGGGAAAUCCAAAGGAUUCUGUUUCCUGUGCUAUGAAGACCAGAGGAGCACAGUUCUGGCUGUUGACAAUUUCAAUGGAAUUAAGAUUAAAGGAAGAACUAUCCGUGUGGACCAUGUGUCAAACUCAGGAAUCAGAAGAUGUGGAUGAUAUGACUAGAGAGCUCCAAGAGAAGGGCUGUGGGGUUAAAACACCCCCAUCAAGUCCUCCUGAAGUCUCUGAAGACGAAGAUGCCAAGCUCACAAAAAAGCACAAAAAGGAGAAAAAGAAAAGGAAGAAAGAGAAGACUGAACGUCAGGUCCAGGCAGAGCAGCCGUCCUGCUCCAGAAGCACGACAGUGAAGGAGAAGAAGGAUGAGCACGCUUCGAGGAAGCACAGUAGCAAGACUUCCGAGAGAGCACAGAAGUCAGAACACAGAGAGAGCAAGAAGAGUCACUCGGGCUCCCCUGGUGGCAGGAGUUCCUACCAUGCUAGGGCAGAGGACCCUGAGUGCAAGGCAAGGAAAGAGAAACCCAAGCAAGAGCACAAGUCCGCCAGCAGGAGGGAGGCAGAGGAGAAGAGCAGAGAGAGGGAGAGAGGGAGGAGCUCACUCAUUCCAGCAGGCACAGGGGGCAUUCUGAUGGGCGGAGCCAUAGAAGUAGAAGUAGGAAUAGGAGUCCAUAGGCACUCUCCGGAGCAGGAGUCCUACCAUGGCAGUGACCGGAGACAUCACUGA